rnacentral:rRNA from 1 species
GCUUGUCUCAAAGAUUAAGCCAUGCAUGUCUAAGUAUAAGUAUUAUACAGCGAAACUGCGAAUGGCUCAUUAAAACAGUUAUGGUUUAUUUGAUAAUCGAAUUUUACAUGGAUAACCGUGGUAAUUCUAGAGCUAAUACAUGCUGGUGUGCCUGACUUUUCGGAAGGGCGGUAUUUAUUAGAUAACGAACCAAUAUUCCUCUGGUCUAUUGUGGUGAAUCAUAAUAACUGAUCGAAUCGCAAAGCCUUUGGCUGCGAUAUGUCAUUCAAGUUUCUGCCCCAUCAGCUUUCGAUGGUAGUGUAUUGGACUACCAUGGCUUUUACUGGCAACAUCAAAUGAAUUUAAAUUAUCUGAGAAGGAGCCUGAGAAACGGCUACCACAUCUAAGGAAGGCAGCAGG